rnacentral:siRNA from 1 species
GAUCAAAUCACAUAUACCGGCUGC